rnacentral:rRNA from 1 species
AAUCAACGCUGGCGGCGUGCCUAACACAUGCAAGUCGCACGAGAAAGGGACUUCGGUCUUGAGUAAAGUGGCGCACGGGUGAGUAACACGUGACUAAUCUACCCUCGAGUGGGGAAUAACUGAGAGAAAUCUUAGCUAAUACCGCAUAAUACUUACGAGUCAAAGCAGCAAUGCGCUUGGGGAGGAGGUCGCGGCCGAUUAGCUAGUUGGCGGGGUAAUGGCCCACCAAGGCGAUGAUCGGUAUCCGGCCUGAGAGGGCGCACGGACACACUGGAACUGAAACACGGUCCAGACUCCUACGGGGGGCAGCAGUGGGGAAUUUUGCGCAAUGGGGGAAACCCUGACGCAGCAACGCCGCGUGGAGGAUGAAGUAUCUUGGUACGUAAACUCCUUUCGAUGGGGAAGAUAAUGACGGUACCCGUAGAAGAAGCCCCGGCUAACUUCGUGCCAGCAGCCGCGGUAAUACGAGGGGGGCAAGCGUUGUUCGGAAUUAUUGGGCGUAAAGGGUGCGUAGGCGGUUUGACAAGUCAUCUGUGAAAUCUAUGGGCUCAACCCAUAGUCUGCAGGCGAAACUGUCG